UACGUAGGGUGCGAGCGUUUGUCCGGAAUUAUUGGGCGUAAAGAGCUUGUAGGCGGUCUGUCGCGUCUGCUGUGAAAAUCCGGGGCUCAACCCCGGACUUGCAGUGGGUACGGGCAGACUAGAGUGUGGUAGGGGAGAAUGGAAUUCCUGGUGUAGCGGUGGAAUGCGCAGAUAUCAGGAGGAACACCGAUGGCGAAGGCAGUUCUCUGGGCCGUAACUGACGCUGAGAAGCGAAAGCAUGGGGAGCGAACAGG
rnacentral:rRNA from 1 species